ensembl:lncRNA
CUCAAACUUCUUAUAAGAAAUCGCUCCAUGUAAUACUUCUCUCAAUGUAAUACACGCAUUUCUUAUAUCACUGACUCCCUUCCAUACAGACAGCAAUACGCAAUGACUUUAUAAAAUUCUAAUUCUGAAUUCUAAACUCGUGAUUAUUCCUACCAGUCAGUGUUGAGGCUGCAUCGGGCUUUCGCUCUACACAACAAAGGGCAAACCGCCUUUGCGUCAACACGGACUUCAGGGUGAAACUCGUCCUUGAGCGUCCUCCGGUUUGCUUGUUGUCCAGAAAAGCUGAAAAGACUCGCGCAGCCCAGCCAGGGGACGCCUAAUUGUCGUGGAAAUUAGACAACACUCGCAGACUCGUCCUCUGAAGACCUUUGAGCUUGAAUCCUAGGCACUGGGGUCACCCCCCUUCCUCUCUCCAGCUAUGAGUAUCCCACACUCCCCAUCACCAAGAACAGGCAAGAGGUGUGUGUGUGUGUGUGUGUGUGUGUGUGUGUGUGUACAAACACAAACUUAGAUGUACACACAUGCAUAUGAAUGACUAUGAACAUCACAUCAAGUGGAGGAAUGUGUGUGUGUGUGUGUAUAGGUGGAGCCUCCAGUGUUUCAGGACCCCAUCCUGCUGGACCUGCUGGUGCAGAUGCUGAAGGAGACCCAGGAGAGCGAGGACAUGAACGUGGACAUGCUGAAGUACACUCAGAAAGAUCUGGACACUGUGCUGGAAAUGACCCGAAAACAGGUGCGGCGAGUAACGCGUCACUUAUCCCUAAAGUUCACGGGUACUCCAGUGCAGUGGGAACAUGGAACAGGAGCUCGAUCAGGAACAGUUGAUCUCGAAUCUCAGAUUUUUGUCAGCAGAGUGAAUUCUCUGAAUUUUGACCUUCUGUGUCACCUAGCAUAAAUAACUCUGCUAACGAUUCAUCAGUGACUCGAUCACUUGAGUUUUAUUCCAACACAUUCCUGUUUUGUUUUAUUGUUGUGUUUAUAUCGUUUGGGGAGAGUGUGUGUUCUGUCCAUGGGUAACGUUUUAGAUGUAAAACGAAGUGCGUGAGUUUAAAAGCCGUGUGUGUUCUUGUAGGCGGAGGAGAGAGAGGUGGCUCUGAAGGUGCUGCAUGCUGAGAGAAAGGCGACUCUGGACACUCUGCAAGCUGAGAACCAUAGUCUCAGGCUGCAACUUCACAGUCUGCGCACUGAGGGACAGGCAACUCUGCACGCUCUGCGCGCUGAGAUCAAUAGGCUCAGGCGGGAUCUUCAGCACAUAAUGUAGUGUACACUAGCUGUAAACACCUGUUUAUCUGUGUUUAUUUACAGUCACAGUGUUUAACCUCAUGCUUCCUACUGUUGGAAAUAAAAUAUACAUGAAAUAAAA